UUAUUUAAAAAAUUAUUUAAUAAAAUAAUUUGAAUAGUAAAAAUUUUAUUAUUUAAAAAAUUAUUUAAUAAAAUGAUUUGAAUAAUGAAAAUGGAAGAGGUGGAGGAAAAUGGAGGAAAGUAGAUGGAGAGUGCCCUCUCCCUGAACCAAACUUCUGUCAUCACCGUCUCUCCCUCAGUCUCUGUCUUCACUACCAGAUGAAGUUAAGGAAAGCGUGAGAGAGAGAUUUGGUAGCUAAGACCUAAGAAGCCUGAUCUGAGACCGAGACCGAGACUGCUAUACUUUUGCUUCGGAAAAUGUGUUUGGAAAUGUGAUUUGCGCACACAAGAUCGCAGAGCGACAACUUCUGGAGCUCGCGAGGUACUUCGUCUUCCAAAUUUAGCCCUUUCCCUCUGCAAUCUGUGUCAGUUGAGCGAGUUUAAUCGACGUGAAAUUGUAAAAGCGGUGGAGCAUGGGUGGACGAUUUUCACCAGAUGCGUUUUUAAUUGGUCCAAUUUCCGCUCUUUCUUGGUGAGGGCUUUCAUUGACAUCUUAUUUCAUGGCAUGUAGAUUGAGUUUGUAAUCUCCGUCCAGUGUCUCCCUUACUGAUAUACCUAAAGAAUCUCCUAAUGACACACUUAGUCGAACUACAGAUCUGACUUAGGGUUUUCAAGUGAGAGAAACUAUCGAAGUUGAUCAAGCUGCUGCAACAAGCUUAUAAAGUUUAUUUAAGGUCUAUUCUUGUCCUUACCGCAUUUGGUGCUGUUUUAGUAUUCGAUAUGGCCUACGAGUUAAGUGAGAUAAAGAUGUCAACAUGGGAGAAUAUUAUUGUGAGAUUUUCAAAUUCUAUGACGAUGAUGUAAGAUGUUUCUUUUGUUCAAACAGAUAAAGGGCAAUUUCAUUGUGAGGAAUGCUGUUUUUGCAGGUUAGUAUGAGGAAUGCUGUAUUUGCAGAUAAAAAUCUGAUAUCAUGAUCAGCUUAUUGCCCACAAUUAAGGAGACUACAAAAUUUCAAGGAUAGGAUGAACUCCUUAUUGCUGUUUAUGUCACUGCUCAAGCUUCUCAAGGAGAUUUGGUUAUGGGGUUAUAUUUGUGGGUAUCUAUUCUCUUGCCAAUGCUGAGUGGCAAGUCUAGUGGGAAUCCUCAAUCAAGAGACUUGGUUUUACAAUUGGUGGAGAGGGUAGAAAUACUACAAGCAUUUUUAAGGGUUUCUGACCAUGGAUGAGUCCUUCCCAUGUUUACAUUCAAUAACUUUGAGGGCUAUGUAAGUGCCUAUUUUUAGGUUUCUGUUGUGGAUGCCAUGGGAGAUGAUGGGUUGGUGGUUGAAAUGAUGAAUUAGCAGCAUAACAACACGGGUCACGUGGAUGUCCAACUGGCAGAAGAGACAAAAAGAGUUUGUUGGAGAAGCAAACGGAAUUGCAAGCCAUCAUGGAAGAUCAUCGCAAAUGAGGGUAUGUGAGGUGGGAAACACAGGUGGAAAGGGUUAUGGGGUUUGUUAGCUAAAAUCUUUUCUCUGUAUUGCUGUUCUUCCUUUCCCUAUGAUAUUUUCUUGAAUGUUCUGUUCUGUUGCUCUGUUGACUUUUGCUGUAAUUUCUACUUAGGCAUAUAUUACGGUGGAAUUGUGAAUAAUGCAGCAUGAGUAGUUCAUUUUGUGAUCAGUAUUACGCAUAAUCUCGUGUUGAAUUGUGACCAUAACAGUUUCCUUGUCUACCUUCAGUUGCGUUGUUGGAGUACCAAUUCUUCAAUUUUGUAGGCACCUUUGCAAAAGAUUCCAUUUCUUUGAGAUUUUAUAUCAUGAACAUGUUAUGAUAUAGAAGUGCAUGGAGAGGGGAUGCUAAUUUAGUUUAAAGGUAUGAUUAUUAAGUUGGAAAACCUGAGUUGCACCAAUAUGGGAGAAGCAUUCUUCAGGGUUUAGUAGGACUACCGAUUGAAGGACACUCUGAACUUGAGAACUGUGGGGAGAAGAAGUUUGAUGUGCGGUAGGAUUUUACCAUUGAAUUUGCUUAUUGGAGAUUGAUGGCUAAGUGAAUGGAGCAGGAUUUUGUACAUGUAGAGGGAUAGUGGGAAACAAAAUGAAUGGGUUGUUGGUUUCUAUUAUAAAUUGAGCCACUUUCACCUAUAUGAUCUCAGAAAUUAAUGCAAUUACUAUGGAAUUGAGGCUUUAACGGGACAAUGCAUUUAGGCAUAUUAACAUUGCAUCAUACUAUCUUCAAGUCCAAACUAUACAAUUUGACCACGAGGAAAAUAACAAAUUAUGUAUUGAUAUCAUUGAUGGAAAUUUUAUAUUGAUAUGUUGUUAUGUAUACAA